GAAGCAGAAUCUGCCAAAAAACCACGGAACAUCUUGAGAAAAGUGCGAAGUCUCCUUCAGGUGUUUUUCUCAA